CUAAAAGGAAAACAAAAAGGAAAGCAAAAGUCUAGCCUCCACUUCUCUUCCUUUCAAUCCCUAGCCGCCUCUCUAUCCUAAGGGACGGGGAGGGAAGGUCACUGCCUUUCCUCCCCUCUCCUUCCUUCUCCUUCCUUAUCUUCUCUCAUCCGCUUCCACGCUCUUUCCUCUUUCCUUUCUUUGUGGGUUUGGUUGUGCUCUUUGCUCUAUUUUUUGUUGCCCCAGUUCUCCUUAAAUCUCUCUCACCUUGUGAUGUCCUUUUGUUUUGCUGCCUUAUCUUGGUGUUAUUUGGAUUUUUUUUGUUUGCAGAUUUGUGGGUUUUGUGUGGCUGCGGUUUUUCCCUAAACCUGUGCUUCGAUAGUAGUGUUCAUGUUUUCAUGGUGGCGACGACGACAACUCUACUUUCUGUCAUCUCGGUUGGUUUUGCCCCUUUUUUUGGGUUGUAAUAAUUAUAUCAAAUCUCUUGUGAGUUGGGUGUUUUGCUUGUAGUUGAGUCUCUACUUGUAUUUUUUACUUGUGCGAGUUUAAAAGUUGCAGUUAUAUUGGUAGUUUUGGGCGCUAUUGUCCACGUCUGAUUUGUUUAAGCUUGUGGCUUUCAUGCGGAAAUUUGUUUGGCUUUAUGCCACUAUUAGUGGAGAUAUACUUGUGGUGUAUUUCUCUGUAUCUGGAAUAACCAUGCGUGGUUACUGUGCUUCCAUAUUUGUAUCAACCCUUUUUGGGUAGUUUAUGCCCUUAUGACUGAUGGCCUUGGUGCCUAAGUUAUGAAUACGAUUAUUGCUUACUCUCAAAAGAGAAAAGCAAAGUAGUAAAACUAAUUUAUUAAAGUUGUGUAUUAAAAUAGGAAAAUCUGAAGAUUAACUUACAUUAUUAUAUGCUGAAUCUACUUACAUACAAAAACAAUGUUGCAAAUACUAAAAGUUUUAAUAACAAUAUUUUAGAAUAAUAAAAGAAUCCAAUAAAUUAUCAAAUAAAAGAAUGCAAACCAUGCCUGAUGCAUCCAGCCUGGGGGGAUUCCUUCAAAAUACUUCAAAUGGAGUUCUUCUUAUGUUUUGUCAUCUUCAGAUAGCUGAAAAUGGGUUUCUCUGGUACAGGUAUAGACUUGACGACCCAACCAAUUGGCCAAGAAACAGCUGCAAUUCCAAUACAUGCACCCCAUUGCCCCCAAUUCAACCUCUCUGUAUCUGCAAACUUCUUGAGAAAUUCCACCAUCACCACCUGAAGCAGAAUUGUCACUGCAAUGAUCCCCAGAAACAAUUUGUUGGUGUGAAUUCCCUUGAACACAUUCUUCUUCUCAAGCUUCCUUGCAUUGAACUCAUUGAACACCUGGCACAGCACAAACGUGUUGAAGAUCAAGGUGUCCUUUACCUUGUCAUCCACGCCAAAGAUUGAUUUGCCUCUGAAUUGCAGGGUCAGGAGGAUUGCAAUCUGGUACAGUGCUUGAGGCAAGAGGUUCCUCCACAUGAUGUUGGUGAUGAGAGGCUCAGUCCUUCCCACUGGUUUCUUCUCCAUGAGUUCUUUUGUGGGCUUCUCAGUGGCAAGAGCAAGAGCACCUAGUGUGUCCA
rnacentral:lncRNA from 1 species